rnacentral:lncRNA from 1 species
UCAUCUUUUAUUUUUGUAUUAGAGUAAAUCCCGCGACACUUAUUUCUCGAUUUGUUGCAAGGUGCAUGACUAUCUUACUUCUUUUAUGGGUAAGGGAUAACCAUUUUGAAUUUGUGAUUCCAUCCUCUUGAUAGGUAUAUGAUAUGGUUGAUCACUUGAUGGGAUAUUCUCCUUCUGAAAUUUGAACGCAAGGUCAAACUAACUAAAUACUAC